GGACAGAAACUGCUGGAGUUACAAUAGCUUCUGUCCACAUGUUUUUGAUCAAGUAGAUAAUCAGUAGUACUACUUAUAGUGCUGUUUGUGUACUUCUGUGGGUCCGUGUAUAUUUUGGCAAUUGGAUUUUCCGUUCUGAAACGGGUAUUGAAAAACAAAAAACGAGUGGUUAUUUGAUUUUCGUUUUAAAAUACAAAAAUUAAAAUUGAAAUACAUUCUUUGUGAUCCUUUUCAUGAUCACAAAAGGAUAUACGAAAUUUUAAAAAUGCUUUGAUUUUCAUUUUAUAUGUAGAAUAACCCAAAAAUAAAUUCAGUAAGAGACAGAAACGGAAAAAGGUCCGUUUUUUCAUUUUCUGAGACCGGAAGUGGUCAUCAGCAAGUGUAGAGCCAAACGACGACAAGAUUCUCAGAGGGCGGAGCCAGAGAGCAGUGAUUGGUCAGACCAUAGACUGUAUAUAAAGAUGGACGUAGCGUCUGGCUCCAGAAAUGAAGCCAACACGGAAGUGUCAAAAACUUGCAAUAUCACACCGUCCGCUAGGGCUGACUCCAGAAAGCUCCAUAGACCCCAAUUCAUCACGGGAAAAACUAAAAUUUGAUAGACUGCUUUUCUACAGCUCAUGAUUUUUUUUUCGUUGGUUUUCAUGGUCAAAAUGAGAGAUCAGGUGGCCGAUCCUAAAAUAAAUCAAUAUUGAUUUUUUUUUUAUAGAGCGUUAAAGUUUUGCGAAGCCAGGGGGCGGGACUACUUGACUGACAGGCUGGUCUGGAAUGAUUGACAGGUCCUAUGGAGGAGGCAGCAGAGACUCUGCUCUCCUCGUUUGGAUUAAUUCUGAUAUAAUAACUGUUGGUUUAUUUAUCGGUGGAGCAGCAGAACAUUUUCCACAGACAGUUUUCCUGCCCGUUGGCUUGUUUUAACCAGUUUUCUGCCUUCGGCUGAUUCUACCAGCAGACACAAAGGACUCUGAUAGUUCGGUAAGUAAAUGUUUGUUUUCGUAUCGGUGCCGCUUUUAAUGCACUUUAUAUGCAGCUGUAGUGUCAGAUAUAAUGUGUGCCAUGCACUCCAGAUGUUGGUGGAGUUUAUUUCUGUGUGUGUUGACCAGAGAAGAAAGUUAGCAUCCAGUAAAUAUUAGCUUUAAUGUUAGCGAUGCUAACCGAGCUAGCUGCUCAGUCCUAGCCUGAUUAAAGCUAACGUAGCAUUAAGCUAACGAUGUUUGUGUUAUUUCCUGUAAACAGCUGAAGUAUGUUGUGUUACUGUAAUGUGGUACAUUUAGUUAAUAAAACUGUUCAUGGAGACGCUGGUUCACAUUAAUGUAACGUUUAGAAAACCUAAAUGUGAUUAAAACAGUGAGGUUAAGGUUCUGUGUUGUCAGUAGUCCUGAAUAUCUGCUGAGUCUCUGAAGUUAAACUGGAGAAAACAGUAAAUCUGCUCUCUAGUUGUUAACAUUGUUUAAUGACUGAUUCACAUGUUUUAGUACUUAUUCCUGCAGUGUAGACUGGAAAAAUAAACUCCCAGAAUAUGUCCAAAGUAAUGAUAAACACUACACUUAUUACAUUUAAAUUACAGCACAGAUAAGCUGGAUAAUAAAAUCCUUUCCUCUAAAGCUAAAGUGACUACAGGCCUUUCUGUCUUUCAGUGCCUGGAAAACUAUAUGAAACAGGAAAUCUGUCCAGGGAUACUUUAAAAUGAACCUCUGCUGUUGAUGCUGAUACUGUGACGUCUGUCUUCAUCUCAGGUGUCUCAUGUUCACUGUGAGGAUCUUCUGAGUGAAGCCAACAGAAGGAAAACCUCAUCUGGAUGUGAAGAAGGAGACUGAAUGGACGACAUCCUCAGUGAACCACUUCCUGUUUAACUUUCACUUACAGAAGGACAGAGCAACUAUUUCAGCAGUUUAUUUUUCUCUGUUCUUAGUAUUCACAGGUUCCAUUUAUCACCUUUAACUUCAUCUCUGCUGUUGUAGCAGAAUGAUAAUACAGAGCACAUUUUCCUAUCAUUUAUAUCAGAUAUGUAGCAUUAAAACAUCAAGGACAAGAGCUUCAUUAUUUUCUUUAUUGCACAUUUAAAAACUACAUUGUUUAACAAUUGUGAACUAAGGAUGCGUAAACACAUGUAAUAAAUGGAUGAAAUACAUAAUGUGUUGCUGACAGUGAAGUGUAAAAACUGAACAGUCACAAGACAAGUUGUAUUAUGAAGAGAGGAGCUGAAUCUGCAGCAUUAUUGUUAUUACUGGAAGGAUGAGGAGGACAUCAGUGCUGCUCUUCCUCACAGUGAUGAAGGAGAAAAGACUCUUCAGACAACCACAGCUGGAUGUUCUCUGGAGCUCUCAGUCCAUCAGACGAGAUGCCCCCAAUGAUCCAGACCAAGACUGGAAGGAAAAGACACCAACAGUGAGGAAAAGAUCUACAGGGUUCUUUCAGUCCAACUGCAGGAACAUUAAAUAUCAGAGUGAACACAUCAGGAUAUGAAUGGAAUACAAUACAGUGUUGUAUUUUGUGCUAAUUUUUAAUCUUAUGGAAAUGUUUGUUUUCCUGGUUGAGGCUAAAGAACAUUUUAUUGCCUGUAUUUGUAGUAAAACAUGAGUUGAAACAUCCUACUUUUGGAUCUAGAACUGCACAAGUCGUUCAUUUUCAGUCACCUGAUGAGUUAAACUCCCCUUUUUAUGUGAGGUUGAAGCAGAAAGUCUGAGUUAACAAAGAAAGUUGUUUAUAAUCUGUGGUACCUGUUAUCUCUGACUGAGGCUUUAGUUUUUGUUGAGCUGAUUUACACGUAGAAACUUUGUUCAGGAAGAUUUGUCAGUAGCUCAGAGGACAGGCUGCUUUUUACACAACCUUGUAAGAGAAUGUCUGCCAGUGCUUUCAGCAGAAUUUAGAAACACAACACUUCCUAAACAGAUAUUUUGAGGCUGUGAGGUUGAACGUUUGAGAGUAUAUCAGUGAGUUUGUUUGUGGUCUUUCUGUUUCUAGGUGGAAGCUGAAUUAGUGAGGAUGACUCCUGCUCCUGUCAUCUCUAAGCUCCUCCCACAUCUUUACCUGCACAUGAGGAAAAUCACUCCUGUAGAAUGCAGAUGUUCAGAGGGAGAUGAUGCCACAUCUGGUCCAGCAGAUGGAAGGUCUUGAAGUUCUCUGACUGGCCUGGACUGAAGAUGGUCGUCUCACUGGAUUUAAGGUUCAGAUGCUCAGUAACAAACUCCACCAAUGAGCCAACAGGGAAGCUGUAGGUUUAUUAAAUGUUGCUAUGAAGGUUUCACUGUUUUUCUUUGUGGAUGCAAUGUGCUCCAACUGAAACUUGAAUUAGAACUUAGAAGUAAAUCCUUCCAUCUGAAAGGAUUUAGUUGCAUUAAUAACCUCAUAACAUUCUAAUUUUUAUUCCAGUCUUGGUUGGAAAUAGAAUCUCUGUAUUGAUUCAGGUAAAAACUGAACUUCACAGCAUGUUGGAGCAAAACAACCAGAUGAAAACUGUGAUGGUGUUGGAUUGUCAGACCGUAAUGUUGCAGCUCAAAGCAGCUUUUCUAUCUCAGUUCAUUCUGACAUUCAGCUAUGAAUCAACACAGCAGAUGGUGAUCCAUGCUGUGGAAAUCUCACAUCUCCUGAUUUAAUGGAGCUGCUUUGCACUUUUUACACUGUUUAUUCACCAACACUUUAUUUAAUGAAAGUCCCAUCUAGUUUUUAUGAGGAAUGUGAUGUUUUAAUUUCUCUGAAUAACUGCAGUCUAAUGGAAGAGCUGGAACUGUAACAUCUGUCCUGAUAUUGAUCAUGAAGUAUUGAUCAGAAUACUUAUGGUUAGCAGUCAUCCCUGAAGUUUUACAUUAAAAUCAUUACUUGUGUUGUGAACUUUGGUAAGAAGCAGAAACUUUAGCGUUGCCAUGGAUACAUGAGUGUUAAAUUCUGUCCAUGUUUCCAUUUUGGGAAAUUCAGUCCAUCAGAUGAGUUUGUUUUUACUGCCAGCUACCAUUCAGUCUGAGAUAUUAAGAAUAAAUAAAUGUGCAUAAUGUGGAAAUGAAGAGAUUUUAUUUUUAUUUAUUCCUACAGCUGCUGCAUGGAAAGUUCCAGAAUGUGGAGGAAUUUAGUCUCAUAAUCACAGACAAUAAAUAUUAUCUGAAAGUCAGGUUAUUGUUGUUUAUCAGCACAAUACAAAAAGAUUAAUGUUAGAAAUAUUGCAGUUAAGACUCUAGAAUAUCAUGAUUGAUGUAAAUUUACAUCAAUAAUAUGAAUGUUCAGGUUAAGAUUGUGCAGUGAUAUUUAUUCUGUAAGUUUAGCUGAUUAAAGUUUAUGACUCUGAUUAUUUAAAUUGACAUCAUUAUUCUAAUAUUUAGGGUCAGACCCUACAGUAUUGAGAUUAAGAAAUCAAAUAUUCUAUAAAAUGUAAAUACACUGAACUCAUUUGGAUAUAUUUAAGUGAGACUCUACAAUAUUAUGUGACACAAAUCUAUCUAAAUCCAAAUUUUAAUCAUUUUUCUCCAAACAUUUACUGGACUGAUUUAAACUUUAAAAUCACUCCUUUCUAAUCCUCUGCUGUACGUUCAAACCUGAGGCCUUAAAUAGAAACACACAAGUAUCUGAUUGAAGGAACUUCUGCAGAGUCCUGGUUCCAGAACAUGAUGAUAGAAUUAUAGACAAACUUUAACAAAAGCUGCCUGAGAGUUUACAGGUUUUUAUGUUGGAUUUCUUCAGUAAUUUAAUGAGAGUUAUCAGCAAAAAUCAAGUGUUCAUUUGAUGAACUUCAUUUCCUAAAACAUCCAGAAUUGGAGCUCGUAUCUUUGGCAGCUGUAAAGUUUCUGCUCCUUCAAAGUUCACAACACAAUGAAUGAAUUCCUAAAACACUCUCAAUGCUGGAGAGCGUUUGAUGCUGAAGCAGUGAGCAGUUUUUCUGUUUCUUCUCUGGAGAUGCACAAUGAGGGACGUCUGCAGCGACUGAGAAAGAGUCUCACCACAUCCUGACAUGAGGAAAAAGACUUUAUUGAAGACUACAAUGAGAAAAACUAUCAGACAGCAGACGGCUGCAUUCAAGUUUAGGCUGUUAGAUUGUUCCAGAUAAGACAAGUACAAGAUUCUUCAGAGCCGUUCCACCAUGAGCCUGACAGGAAGAACUCCAACAGCUACUGAAUGUUCCUGUGGUUCCCUCAAGGCUACAGGAGGAGUCCUACGAGGACGAGCCGGUCCACCUGAUGGUGGCCAGUCACUGCAGUUCAAAGCCAACACCGACUACGUGGACUUCUACUGGACCACACGGAGGCCUUCAAACCGGACCAACAAGUUCAGCGACUCCCCGACUCGUGGGUCUGAGGACGCCGCCGAGCCUCGGUCCAGCCAGCCUCCUGUCUGUGGGUGUUUGAGUGCUGAGAGGUUUGUGGAUGCAUGUGAACGUUCUGUGUUGAAACAGCAGCUUUGGACUCAGUAACGCCGGGAAAAACCAAGAGCUCCUUUAUUUGUGACUUCCACUAAAAAACUGAUGAAAAUAAGUUUGCCAGGGUUCUGACUGAUAACAGAUUAUUAAAUAAUGAAAAUAAUCGUUUAAAUAUUCCUUUAAACAAUCUUUUAGGGCUACAUUUCCUUUACACUGACUUCUUGGUAAAUGUACUAGUAUUUAGGGUGGAAUAUACCAUUAAGCCCGAUGUUCAAGGGUUCUUCUGGGAAUAUACUAUUAAACCAACCUUUUAGGUAAAUGUUCCAGGAUGUUGGGUAGAAUAUACCAUCAGAUAAACCUUUUAGGUCUACAUUGGAAGAUUUUACAGUAGAAUAUUACUCCAAUCCAUCCUUUAGGUCAACAUUUAAGGUGGAAUACUCCUUUACACCAAGAUUUUUUGGUCUACAUUGAAGGAUUUUUGGUGGAAUAUUUCUUUGGAUGAACUUUUUAAGUUUAUGUUCAAGGAUGUUGGUGGAAUAUAACAUCAGACCAACCUCCAAGGUCUACAGUAGUGAAUUUUAGGUGGAAUAUACCAUUAAACUCACCUUUUAGGUCUACAUUGGAGGAUUUUAGGUGGAAUUUUCUUCCAAACCAUCUUUUAGUCUACAUUUAAGGAUGUUUAGGAUGGUAUAUUCUUCCAAACCAACUUCUCAGGUCUACAUUUCAGGUGGAAUAUUCCUCCAUACUAACUUUUUUGGUCUACAUUGAAGGAUUUUUUCUAAACCACCCUUUGGGGUCUAUAUUUGAGGUUUUAGGUGGAAUAUUCCUUUUAACCAGCCCCUCGGGUCUCUUUGAGGAUUUUGGAUGGAAUACUCAGUUAAAGCAACAUUUUAGGUGCAUGUCCAAGGAUUUUUGGUGGAAUGUUACUUUAAGGUGGAUGUGUGAGGACCUUGUAGGUGGAAUACUUCCUGAAACCAACCUUUUAGGUCAACAUUCAAAGAUUUAAGGUGGAAUAUUCCUUUAAACCAACCUAAAUUUCAUGUUUUGAUCAUUAUCAAGUGAGAAACCUCAAUCCAGACUCCUCAUAAUGACGUUUGAGAUUUAUGCUGCUGUUAUUUGUUUAGUCCAGACUAAAUAACAGAAAUCCACAACUGUAAUUUUAUUGCAGGACUCGGUUAUUAAAUGUCAAAACAAUCCAUGUGACUCUAAAAACUCAACAGCUUUACAAACUCUAAGAUUAAACUCUCCACAAGGAUCCAAAAUAAGUUGGACUUCUACAUGAGAGCUUUAAUUAUUCUUCAUCUACUUUCUGAAAAGUUUGGUCAAUAAAAAAGACAAAAACUAAUAUUUUCAGCUGAACUAAAGUAAGACUUUGUGAUUUUUCUGCUCACAUCUUGUGUUGUUGUAAACUUCCUCUUUCAAAUAAAUAUCCUCCUAACCCCCUGGAAACCAGCGUUUGUCCUGUUUUUGUGUUGCUCGUCACCUACUUCAGACAGCCGGGACAAAACAACGUUUUGUGGACAAAAGGCUGUUCUAUGACGUUUUUAGAGCGACAUGCUAUGCUACGUCGAAAAAAAAUGUUAUUUAUCAACAUAUUGUAAAAACGUGCCAUAUGAUGAAAUAAAUAAUAAUAAUGUAAAGAAGGCCGUGAAAAACACUCCAGAAAGGUUUUCUUUGAAAAAAAAAUCAUCAUGAAUUUUGGCGCAAAAAAAACACCAUAGUAUACUAUGUCGAAAAAAAAUUUUUGAUUUUUCAACAUGUUGUGAAAACGUGCCAUAUGAUGAAAUAAUGUAAAGGAG
ensembl:lncRNA